rnacentral:rRNA from 1 species
UACGGAGGAUGCGAGCGUUAUCCGGAUUUAUUGGGUUUAAAGGGUGCGCAGGCGGAAGAUCAAGUCAGCGGUAAAAUUGAGAGGCUCAACCUCUUCGAGCCGUUGAAACUGGUUUUCUUGAGUGAGCGAGAAGUAUGCGGAAUGCGUGGUGUAGCGGUGAAAUGCAUAGAUAUCACGCAGAACCCCGAUUGCGAAGGCAGCCUGCCGCAGCGUUACUGACGCUGAAGCUCGAAAGCGCGGGUAUCGAACAGG